CUUUCUACUGCUAGGAUAAACAUCAUGACCGAAAGCAACUUAGAGGGAAAAGGUUUAUUUAACUAACUCUUCCAGUCAAUGUUUUUCAGCACACGAGGGACUCAGUGGUUGAAGAAACAGUGUGCCUCCAACUCCAUCAUAUGUCACAGAGAAAGCAGCGAGUGGGUUUGAGAACCUCCAAAAUCAAGGACAUUUGAAGCAGACUCUUCAGUGGAAAAGAGACAUCUGACUUCUUUGCUGCUGAGGUUUUCUCAUUCCCUCUGGAUCUGCUGGGACCUCAUUCCAGUAAUAAAGAUUUUCACUGAUCACUCAA